UUUUGAAAAGUGUACGCUGACUAGUACGUGAUGCCGUAGUCCGUCAGAAACCACUGUCACCCAGUCAACACAGCGUUUUAUUUAUUUCACCUUUUAUUUAACUGGGCAAGUGGAUACCAUUUGGACGGAGUCGACCGGCAAAAAAAAAGCGUUCCCGAGAACCAUGACAUCCCAGGUGCGACAGAACUUCCACCCGGAAUGUGAGGCUGCCAUCAACAGGCAGAUCAACCUGGAACUGUAUGCUUCUUAUGUAUACCUGUCUAUGGGCUACUACUUUGACAGAGACGACAAAUCCCUUCCCAACUUUUCCAAGUUCUUCCUGACUCAGUCCAAGGAGGAGAAGGAGCAUGCUGAGAAACUGAUGAGUCAACAGAACCAGAGAGGAGGACGCAUCUUUCUCCAGGACAUCAAGAAACCUGACAGAGAUGAGUGGGGCAGUGGGUUGGAGGCCUUGGAGUGUGCCCUACAGCUGGAGAAGAGUGUCAACCAGUCUCUACUGGACCUGCACAAAGUAGCCGUAGAGCGCAAUGACCCGCACAUGUGUGACUUCAUAGAGACCCACUAUCUGGAUGAGCAGGUCAAGUCUAUCAAGGAGCUGAGUGACUGGGUCACCAACCUGCGUCGCAUGGGUGCCCUCAGAACGGCAUGGCAGAGUACCUCUUCGACAAACACACCCUGGGGAAGGAGUAGCGGCUGAACAUCCCGUCUUUUACUAGGGUCGUGUUCAUUAGGGCACACUGUAGCAAAAUACGUUGAAACAGGAAACGGCCAUUUCUUAUUGGAUAAAUUCAGAUUGUAGUACCUCACAGUUUCAGCCCGUUUUGUGACACAACCCAUUUUCCCGCCUGCUGGUCAAUUUUUCAUGUUUGGUCUGUCCUUACGACUGGUAAUCUUCUAGCCAUUGCUCUAUUUACUCUAUUUGCUCUAUUUACAUGACUGCUCUAUAUCGGGAUUUACUUUUUCUAUGAUCUCCCGAAGCUGACUUCCAGGCUGUUUGUGCUAUCAUACCAACUCCUUGUCAUUCAGUUUGGCUUGACACAUUUCAGCACAAACAGAUCUGGGACCAGGCUAUAUUUUUCCUAUGUUUACCUACACUAUGUGUCCGUUACAAUUGACAUGUUUUGCCAAAAUAAAGACUUGACUGUUCCCUAGAGAUAUCUCGUAGCUUGGUGGAGUUUAAAAGUGAGACUGUGGUGAGUAGUACCACGUAACUUCUGUUUUUGUUUGUCUCUACUGCGUUUCAUAUUUAAUUUGUGAAGCCAAUAUUGAGUGAUUGUAGGAAAGACGUUAUUUAAAAUACCCUUUCCAUUCUAUUAUUUCUCCACAGUUCAUUAAUUAAUCCAUUUUAAUGAAAUUAUGUCUAUAUUUUUGGAAUUUGGUCUGUGUCUCUUAUCCAUUGUAAGGUGAUGAUAUGAUGAUAAACAUUUGAAUCAC